rnacentral:rRNA from 1 species
CUACGGGAGGCACCAGUAGGGAAUAUUGCACAAUGGGGGAAACCCUGAUGCAGCAAUGCCGCGUGAAGGAUGAAGUAUUUCGGUAUGUAAACUUCUAUCGAUGGGGAAGAAACAAAUGACGGUACCCAAGUAAGAAGCCCCGGCUAACUAUGUGCCAGCAGCCGCGGUAAUACAUAGGGGGCAAGCGUUAUCCGGAUUUACUGGGUGUAAAGGGUGCGUAGGCGGCUAGAUAAGUCAGGUGUGAAAACCCGGGGCUCAACCUCGGGAAUGCACUUGAAACUGUAUAGCUAGAGUAUGGGAGAGGUAAAUGGAAUUCCUAGUGUAGCGGUAAAAUGCGUAGAUAUUAGGAGGAACACCAGUGGCGAAGGCGAUUUACUGGACCAAAACUGACGCUGAGGCACGAAAGCGUGGGGAGCAAACAGGAUUAGAUACCCCUGUAGUC